UUGUAAGUUCGUUUAUAUUUUUUUGUGUAAUUUUUCGUGAAAAUGAAGUCUUCCAAACAUAUGAGAACUCUCUUAACAUACGUACACUCUCACCGUCGCUUCUUUUUCUUGCUUUAAAACGCCGCGUGUCAAUAAGAAAUUAGCCAAAAAAGGAAAGAAACGAGCGUUGAGAAGCGUAAAAUUAUAUUGAACGCUUAUAAACAGCAAGGGACUAUUCGGAAAAUCUGUGGAUUAGUUCAACGACCCUACCACAUUAUAAAUCGUUUUAACAAUGACCCAGAUUGAGAGUAUCAACCGGGAAGUUGGAGACCACCUACGCUAUAAGACAGGGACAAACGGGAAAUAGUAAAGAAACAAAAAGUAUUCUAUGUCCGUCCCCUGGUUCUAAUUUCAAAUCGAUUCAGCCGUUCUUGAGCUAUAAAUAGUGUAACUAACAGGACUUAUAUAUAUAUAUAUAUAUAUAUAUCUAUUAUAUAUAAAAGUUUUCUGCUGCUGUCGAGAAUCAACUAACAUAAGAGCGAGCUAGCUCGCGCUCGGCGGGGGGCGGACGUAGGCGAGCGAGCGAAGCGAGCGUCCCGGAGCGCAGCGGAGGGCGCCUAGUAUAUAUGACGGUGACAUUUGUCCAUAAGAAAUAUGUAUUUUAAUUAUAGCCCAUAUAUCACACCGAAUCACGCAAUGUUAAUUAAAAUAUUCCUGUUAUACGCAACCAAGAGGACAAAAUUUAAUCUAUUGGGUAUAUGAAUAAAUUGUCAACCGGAAGAGCGGAAAUCAUUACAUUGGGGACAUGAGAAACAUGUGCAGCACUGGGGUUAAGAACACAUAUACAUUUACUUUCAUUAAAAUAUUACAAAUAUUGGCCAUACAAAUUAGUCGGUAAGUCGUGCUAGAGGUAGGGUACUGUUUGCAUUUCUUUUUAGCGGUAAACUGAACCAUACUUUCAGAAAUUUCCACUCAUUUUUAUUAAGAUAACCCUCUUAAAGAAAAUCAUUAUACGCAGGGUAUGAGGACUGCAUACUAAGGUAUGGAUAUCCAAGAUAAACGUUCACUUCAUUUUGUCAAAAUAUAUUAUUGACAUAUUAUAAAUAUAUAAUAUUAUAAUAUAAGAUAUAUGAUAGCUAUAGUAAAUACAGAACCGAUCUUUUUCCAUUUAUAGUACUAUUACACAUUAUUAUAUAUAAAAUAUGCCCUCUUUGUUUAAUUAAGACAAUCACCCAGAAGUGGCCAGGUUUGCUAAUAAGAGAGUAAUUGUGUUCUCUUCAGGGCAACCCAGGCCACACACAUUCAGAGAGACUCGCCAGAUGCUACGGGAGCUUGGUUGGGAUAUUCUUAUGCAUCCACCGUAUAUUUCGGAUCUUGCACCAAGUGAUUAUAACCUGUUUCUGUUUAUGAGGAAUGAUUUUACUGGUAAAAUAAAAUCGUCACAAGAGAAACAUGUGAAAUCAACUGUCGUAGUUUUCGUCAAUAGCGACUGUAUGGACAUUAUAAAACUACCUUCAAUAUGGUAACAAGUUAUCAAACAAAACGGUCCAUAUUUGACCUUAGUCUAAACAUUCUAACUGUACGCAUGC